rnacentral:tRNA from 1 species
GGGGGUAUAGCUCAGUGGUAGAGUGCAUGCCUAGCAUGCGUAAGGUCCUGCGUUCAAUUCCCAGUACCUCUA